rnacentral:rRNA from 1 species
GAUCAUUAUUGAAAUAAACCUGAUGAGUUGCUGCUGGUUCUCUUGGGAGCAUGUGCACACUUGUCAUCUUUAUAUCUCCACUUUGUGCACUUUGUGUAGACCUGGAUAUCUCUCUGAGUGCUUAGCAACUCAGGUUUGAGGAUUGAUUUUAAUAUCUCUCCUUACAUUUCCAGGCCUAUGUUUCUUCAUAUACCCUAAUGUAUGUUAUAGAAUGUAAUCAAUGGGCCUUUGUGCCUAUAAAACCUAUACAACUUUCAGCAACGGAUCUCUUGGCUCUCGCAUCGAUGAAGAACGCAGCGAAAUGCGAUAAUUAAUGUGAAUUGCAGAAUUCAGUGAAUCAUCGAAUCUUUGAACGCACCUUGCGCUCCUUUCAAUGGAGCAUGCCUGUUUGAGUGUCAUUAAAUAUAUCAACCUCUUCAGCUUUUGUUUGCUGAGUGGGGUUGGAUGUGGGGGUUUUUGCUGGCUUCUCUCUCUGAGGUCAGCUCCCCUGAAAUUCAUUAGCGGAACAAUUUGUGGAUCGUUCAUUGGUGUGAUAACUAUCUACGCUAUCGACGUGAAGCAGGUUCAGCUUCUAACAGUCCAUUGAUUUGGCACAAAAUUUUCAUUAAUGUGACCUCAAAUCAUGUA